rnacentral:rRNA from 1 species
UACGUAGGGUGCGAGCGUUGUCCGGAAUCAUUGGGCGUAAAGGGCGCGUAGGUGGCCCGGUCAGUCAGUGGUGAAAGCGCGGGGCUCAACUCCGCGUCGGCCAUUGAUACUGCUGGGCUGGAGCACUGUAGAGGCAGGCGGAAUUCCGGGUGUAGCGGUGGAAUGCGUAGAGAUCCGGAAGAACACCGGUGGCGAGGCGGCCUGCUGGGCAGUUGCUGACACUGAGGCGCGGCAGCGUG